GCCAGGUGUGGUGGUGCCUGCCUGUAAUCCCAGUGGCUCUGGAGGCUGAGGCAGGAGGAUUGAGGAUUCAAAGCCAGCCUCAA
rnacentral:sRNA from 1 species